UACAUUUAGAUUGUCAGAUCAAAGUGAUAUGGCUUUCAAGAGUGGUGGUUUUUUAUCAAUUGAAUAUGCUCCAGGCGCUACCAGAAGCAUGUAUUUGGAAAAAGGUUUUCUUGAUUUUGUGAACAAGGCAAUGAAUGCAUACAUUUCCUUUGGGCUUGUAUGCUGUUGUUAAUUCUUGGAGAGAACCUCAUGUUGAUGUACCUCCAUUAAAAAGUAAUGCUGAUAUAAUGUACCAAAAAAAUGCUACAUGUGAUGAGAAUUGCAUCACAUAUUAUGUUAUGAAAGCAAAGCAUUAGUUUCCCAAAAAGAAAGCUGUUUUCUUUAUUUUAUUCAAAUUGUAAGAAACAUCCACUAGAGUGAAGCUGUAAGUACCUCGUUCACCUGGCUGUCCAAUUUCAAUCCAGUCCAGUUGUUGGGUUUCCUGUUCUCAAGGAUUCAUUUUUGUGGAAAUCUAAUUGCUUAUGCCUUGCUUUGCAAUUCUGUCAACACAACAAGAGUGACCUGA
rnacentral:misc_RNA from 1 species